AAAAUCAUUAUCAGGAGGAUACACAUUUAACGAUAACCCUAAAUCAUUAUUGCCAACAUAAUAUAACGCUCUUGAGCAAGUGAACAAAUAUUACAAGGUUUUCAAAAAGUGAGAGAAAAAAAAAACAAAUAUUACAAGGUAACAACCCACUGCCACUAUAUAUAAUAACAAGCAACUACUUUGAGUGAUACCUAAGACCCAAUACCCAGCCCCAGCACCACAACAGAUAGGUGUUAUCUUCUUGCACAUACAAGUCAAGACUCUUGGGGUGCCUCAAAUCUUGUUGG
rnacentral:lncRNA from 1 species